GGAUGUGAGUGUAAUCUUGCUUUAACAUCUGUCACCCCGUCGGUUGACAGGGUUUGUUCUGCUGAUCUGGCUGGCCGGUCAGGUAUACCUUUUCUUCCUCACUCCUCCAUGUGUGUCGUUGUGGAGCUCUGAGUCUCCAUUGAGGAAGACGACCUUCCCCAACAGAGGAGGGCCCUUCCUGGUCAGGGUAUGGAAGUGGUCUCAAUCCUCUGUCAGAAAUUCAAACAAGCCCUUUCUUCUUAUUUUAAGUUUGACCGGGAGUUGGGUUGAUAGAGGGAAAUACAUGCUUCUCUGGACAACUGAG
rnacentral:snRNA from 14 species